UGAGUGGCGGACGGGUGAGUAACACGUGGGUAACCUACCCUUAAGUGGGGGAUAACAUUUGGAAACAGAUGCUAAUACCGCAUAACCAUUCAGACCACAUGGUCUGAAUGUAAAAGACGGCCUUUGGCUGUCACUUUUGGACGGACCCGCGGCGUAUUAGUUAGUUGGUAAGGUAACGGCUUACCAAGACAAUGAUACGUAGCCGACCUGAGAGGGUAAUCGGCCACAUUGGGACUGAGACACGGCCCAAACUCCUACGGGAGGCAGCAGUAGGGAAUCUUCCACAAUGGACGAAAGUCUGAUGGAGCAACGCCGCGUGAGUGAAGAAGGUUUUAGGAUCGUAAAACUCUGUUGUUGGAGAAGAACAGGGACUAGAGUAACUGUUAGUCCUUUGACGGUAUCCAACCAGAAAGCCACGGCUAACUACGUGCCAGCAGCCGCGGUAAUACGUAGGUGGCAAGCGUUGUCCGGAUUUAUUGGGCGUAAAGCGAGCGCAGGCG
rnacentral:rRNA from 1 species